GACUCGCUCUGACAUCUUGACGCAACCACACAGGACACUACAGAAAAGAGUUGUCUCCAGCGCGAGCUUCUGCCCUUCCCAAGAGGGAAGCUGACUCCGGCACCUUGGGACAUGGACGUCUCAGCCCAACAGAACGAAACAUAUAAACUACAAACCAACACAGCCUCCCCGCACACCGCACACCACAUCUUGCAGAGAAAGGAGGUGGCCCGAGUGCUUUAAGUGCCUCACAACGUCCACAUUGUGCUGGUGGAGUUACUUUUAAUGAAGUUGUUAUUAUGCCACAAGAAUGCAAUAAAACAUCUGAAACCUGAAAUUUCCUAUUUUUUAUCAUCUCCUGUGUAAAAAAAAAAAAAAAUCUCCAAAAAAAAAAAAAAAAAAAAAAAAGGAAAAAAAGGUUUGUUUUCAAACGUAGUAUACGGGAGUAACUGGAUAGAGAGGUUCCAAGCCAAC
ensembl:lncRNA